CAAGAGCGUAUAUUAAAGUUGUUGCAGUUAAAAGCUCGUAGUUGGAUUUCUGGUACAAUGCGCCUGACCCGCGGCCGUAAGGCCUGUGAGUGUCGGUGCGCGUUUACCAUCCUUCUAGAAAACGUUUCUACCCUUUACUGGGCCGGACUCGCGAUCUAGAUCUUUUACUUUGAAAAAUUAGAGUGUUCAAAGCAGGCUUUCGCUGUGAAUACAUUAGCAUGGAAUAAUAAUCUAGGACUUCGGUUUUAUUUUGUUUGGUUUCUUAACACUGAAGUAAUAGAUUGAUAGGGAGUAGUUGGGGGUGGCUAGUAUUGGUCCGGCCACGAGGUGGAAAUUACUUGGAUUCGGUUCAAGACUAACUUAUUGCGAAAGCAUUCACCAAGGAUGUCUUCUUUAAUUCAAGAACGAAAGUUAGGGGGAGUCGAAGACGAUCAGAUACCAU
rnacentral:rRNA from 1 species